rnacentral:sRNA from 2 species
ACCUACCGCUGCCAACCUAUCUAUCACUGCUAAUCUAUCGCUGCUAAUCUAUCGCUGCUAAUCUAUCGCCGCCAACCUACCUACCGCUGCCAACCUACCUACCGCUGCCAACCUAUCUAUCGCUGCCAACCUAUAUAGGGUAAAUCAUGGUCCCAUUUGGUCCCAUUUUGUAAAAUGGGACCAAAUGGGACCAGAAUCACUAAUUUAUUAGUAAAACAUGAUCUGGGACUAGAUUUAUAAUAUAAACAGUGUAAAGUGACUAAUUUGCUAAACACUAUAUGGGAUCAGAACUAAGAUAUCUAAUAAUGGAACUGAGGAAAAAUUUGGUCUCAGUUCCAUGCAUGGUCACACAGUCAGUCUACAAACAAUUUUAUAUUUCUUUAAAUUCAAAUAAAACAGAAUAUAUAACAC